GAUGAACGCUGGCGGCGUGCUUAACACAUGCAAGUCGAACGAUGAAGCCCAGCUUGCUGGGUGGAUUAGUGGCGAACGGGUGAGUAACACGUGAGUAACCUGCCCUUAACUCUGGGAUAAGCCUGGGAAACUGGGUCUAAUACCGGAUAGGAGCGUCCACCGCAUGGUGUGUGUUGGAAAGAUUUAUCGGUUUUGGAUGGACUCGCGGCCUAUCAGCUUGUUGGUGAGGUAUUGGCUCACCAAGGCGACGACGGGUAGCCGGCCUGAGAGGGUGACCGGCCACACUGGGACUGAGACACGGCCCAGACUCCUACGGGAGGCAGCAGUGGGGAAUAUUGCACAAUGGGCGCAAGCCUGAUGCAGCGACGCCGCGUGAGGGAUGACGGCCUUCGGGUUGUAAACCUCUUUCAGUAGGGAAGAAGCGAAAGUGACGGUACCUGCAGAAGAAGCACCGGCUAACUACGUG
rnacentral:rRNA from 1 species